rnacentral:rRNA from 2 species
GAUGAACGCUGGCGGCGUGCCUAAUACAUGCAAGUCGAACGAGUUCUGAUUAUUGAAAGGUGCUUGCAUCUUGAUUUAAUUUUGAACGAGUGGCGGACGGGUGAGUAACACGUGGGUAACCUGCCCUUAAGUGGGGGAUAACAUUUGGAAACAGAUGCUAAUACCGCAUAAAUCCAAAAACCGCAUGGUUCUUGGCUGAAAGAUGGCGUAAGCCAUCGCUUUUGGAUGGACCCGCGGCGUAUUAGCUAGUUGGUGAGGUAACGGCUCACCAAGGCAAUGAUACGUAGCCGAACUGAGAGGUUGAUCGGCCACAUUGGGACUGAGACACGGCCCAAACUCCUACGGGAGGCAGCAGUAGGGAAUCUUCCACAAUGGACGCAAGUCUGAUGGAGCAACGCCGCCUGAGUGAAGAAGGCUUUCGGGUCGUAAAACUCUGUUGUGGAGAAGAAGGUCGGCAGAGUAAC